UGCCCAGCAACUCCUAUCCCUACCUCCACGCGGUACCGGCCGGAAACUAUGAGCAACCUUAGGGAAGAUCGGGUAACCAACCCCGGUGGUCGUAGGCUGACAGGGAAGG
rfam:Aedes albopictus isolate Foshan contig11381, whole genome shotgun sequence.